rnacentral:lncRNA from 1 species
AUAGUACAGAGGCAUCUCUGUAGCAGACUAAAAUAAUACAUAUAAUGACGGCAUCUAAAUCAAUGGCAUCUCGCCUACCUGGCAAAGCAUAAAACGAGCCUGGCCACCACCUGAUCAGCCUCCCCCUCUGGGGUGACCUAGCUGGCUGGGCGGGUGGCGAAGUAACUAGAGCAUAAGUUGAGGGCUGACCCCUCUGCUGGGACUAACUGGUGGCACGACGAGGAAACUGCCUCCACAAAUGCCCAUAAUCUACACACUCAAAACAACUCCCAGGUAUGGGAGAAGGGGACUGAUGGGAACCCCUCGCACCGGAGUGACCAGCUGAUGAACUCGGCAUGGAAGAAACCUGAGCUGACGGGGCACAAGAUGUUCUAUAAGCUGGGAGGGCGCUGACAGAAGGCUGGCUUUGUUGAGACCCAUGAUAACCAUGACCUGAAGACGCCCCACAAUACUCUGGACGAGCUGACUGGGCAUGCCUGAAAGAACGACCCCUACCAUGCUAGAACUGGACCCUUAAGGGAGCACUAAUGAAAAUGCCAGAACCUCGAGGCCUCUUGGCCUCUCUCUCCUCCCUAACCUGACGAUGAACCAUCUCAAUCUCACGAGCGAUAUCAACCACCUCCUCAAAUGUAUCACCUAAUACUCUCUCUCUCUCUAGUCAUCAAGAUACGGAGAUGGUAGCAAAGGCCAUCAACAAACCUCCUAAUCCUCUCACGAUCUGUCGGAACCAUCCAUACGGCAUGAUGAGCCAACUUAGAAAAUUGUGACUCAUAUUGUGACACAGUCAUAUCUCCCUGUAACAGCCACUUGAGCUGUCUACGUAGCUCCUCUCUACGGGACUGCGGUACAUACUUCUCCAAGAAGAGAGUGGAGAACUGUUACCAAGUAAGGGGCACUGCACCAACCUGCCUACGCCUCCUACCAAGUGAAGGUGACCCUAGUAAAUUGAAAGGUGGUAAAUGCCACACCACUAAUCUUAAGAAUCCAUGUUAUAUGGAGCAUCUGCUAACAUUUAUCUGGAAAACCCUAGGCAUCCUCACCCUCAGCACCACUGAAUGACGGAGGCUGGAGUCUACCAAACCUCUCAAGACGAUGAUGCUCAUCAUCCGGCAUAACUGGUACCAUAAACUCCUAAACUGGUGCAACCGGCAGGGCUAGGGGUGCCUACGGUGUCUGUAGCUCCUGCACUACCUACUCAGGUGUACAAGCAGUGGGGUUCUGAUUACCUCCCCCAGCCUAUGAAGUAGAUGCUGCUGUGGUAGCUGAAACUGCCAAAGCCAGGCCAGUGCAAACUGUCAAGAUCUAGGCCAAGGUCUCCUGUAGACCCGAAAUUAUGAUGGGCACAGCUGGUUCCUGAGCUGGUGUUGCUGCUGGAGCCUGAUCCGGAGCCGAGGCAGCUGGUGGGUC